AUGAAAUUGCUAUGUCAAAACAAGCUGCAGUAGUGCAUUGACGUGGGCACGGUGGCUGAUAUUCUUGGUCUAGCGGACCAGCACUAUUGCCCUGCGUUGAAGGAGGCAUGCUUGGAGUUCCUCAAAAUUCCUAGGAAUUUAGAGAAAGUAUUGAUGGUUGAUGGCUUAGACCAUAUAGUUCAAACCUGCCCCUCUCUUGUCAAGGAACUCCUGUCCAAGUUUGCUUCCUAA
rnacentral:rRNA from 1 species